rnacentral:rRNA from 3 species
CACUAGCGCGGUGGUCCCACCUGACCCCAUGCCGAACUCAGAAGUGAAACGCCGUAGCGCCGAUGGUAGUGUG